AUUGAACGCUGGCGGCGUGCCUAAUACAUGCAAGUCGAGCGAAGCGGCGGAUGGGUGAGUAACGCGUGGGUAACCUGCCCUUAAGCCUGGGAUAGCAUUUGGAAACCGAUGCUAAUACCGGAUCCUAAAGGAUGGACCUGCGGUGCAUUAGCUAGUUGGUAAGGUAACGGCUUACCAAGGCGAUGAUGCAUAGCUGAGUUGAGAGACUGAUCGGCCACAUUGGGACUGAGACACGGCCCAAACUCCUACGGGAGGCAGCAGUAGGGAAUCUUCCAAAAUGGGCGAAAGUCUGAUGGAGCAACGCCGCGUGAGUGAAGAAGGUUUUCGGAUCGUAAAGCUCUGUUGUUGGUGAAGCGGUAAUCAACCAGAAAGUCACGGCUAACUACGUGCCAGCAGCCGCGGUAAUAC
rnacentral:rRNA from 1 species